rnacentral:rRNA from 1 species
UGCCAGCCGCCGCGGUAAUACGGAGGAUGCGAGCGUUAUCCGGAUUUAUUGGGUUUAAAGGGUGCGUAGGUGGUCUUUUAAGUCAGCGGUGAAAGUUUGUGGCUCAACCAUAAAAUUGCCGUUGAUACUGGAGGACUUGAGUAUGUUUGAAGUAGGCGGAAUGCGUAGUGUAGCGGUGAAAUGCAUAGAUAUUACGCAGAACUCCAAUUGCGAAGGCAGCUUACUAAACCAUAACUGACACUCAAGCACGAAAGCGUGGGUAUCAAACAGGAUUAGAUA